AGUCCACGCCGUAAACGAUGGAUACUAGCUGUUCGGUUUUCGGACUGAGUGGCUAAGCGAAAGUGAUAAGUAUCCCACCUGGGGAGUACGUUCGCAAGAAUGAAACUCAAAGGAAUUGACGGGGGCCCGCACAAGCGGUGGAGCAUGUGGUUUAAUUCGAUGAUACGCGAGGAACCUUACCAGGGCUUAAAUGUAGAUUGACAGAUUUGGAAACAGAUUUUUCUUCGGACAAUUUACAAGGUGCUGCAUGGUUGUCGUCAGCUCGUGCCGUGAGGUGUCAGGUUAAGUCCUAUAACGAGCGCAACCCCUAUUGUUAGUUACCAGCGCGUAGUGGCGGGGACUCUAGCAAGACUGCCGGUGCAAACCGUGAGGAAGGUGGGGAUGACGUCAAAUCAUCACGGCCCUUACGUCCUGGGCUACACACGUGCUACAAUGGCAAGUACAGAAAGCAGCUACCUGGCAACAGGAUGCGAAUCUCCAAAGCUUGUCUCAGUUCGGAUUGGAGUCUGCAACUCGACUCUAUGAAGCUGGAAUCGCUAGUAAUCGGAUAUCAGCCAUGAUCCGGUGAAUACGUUCCCGGGCCUUGUACACACCGCCCGUCAAGCCAUGGAAGCUGGGGGUACCUGAAGUCGGUGACCGCA
rnacentral:rRNA from 1 species